UACAGAGGUGGCAAGCGUUGUUCGGAAUUACUGGGCGUAAAGGGCGCGUAGGCGGUCAGGUCAGUCCCGUGUGAAAUCCCUCGGCUCAACUGAGGAACUGCACGGGAAACUGCCUGGCUUGAGUUCGGGAGAGGGAAGCGGAAUUCCGGGUGUAGCGGUGAAAUGCGUAGAUAUCUGGAGGAACACCGGUGGCGAAGGCGGCAUCCUGGACCAACACUGACGCUGAGUGAGCGAAAGCCAGGGGAGCAAACGGG
rnacentral:rRNA from 1 species